AUUGAACGCUGGCGGCAGGCCUAACACAUGCAAGUCGAGCGGAAACGAAGGGAGCUUGCUCCCAGGCGUCGAGCGGCGGACGGGUGAGUAACACGUGAGAAUCUGCCCAUUAGUGGGGGACAACUCGGGGAAACUCGAGCUAAUACCGCAUAAUACCUACGGGGGAAAGCAGGGGACCUUUUGGCCUUACGCUGAUCGAUGAGCUCACGCCGGAAUAGCUUGUUGGUGAGGUAAAGGCUCACCAAGGCGACGAUCCCUAGCUGGUCUGAGAGGAUGAUCAGCCACACUGGGACUGAGACACGGCCCAGACUCCUACGGGAGGCAGCAGUGGGGAAUCUUGGACAAUGGGGGCAACCCUGAUCCAGCCAUGCCGCGUGUGUGAAGAAGGCCUUCGGGUUGUAAAGCACUUUCAGCAGGGAGGAAGGCUUUGGCCGAAUAGGUUGAAGUACUUGACGUUACCUGCAGAAGAAGCACCGGCUAAUUUCGUGCCAGCCGCCGCGGUAA
rnacentral:rRNA from 1 species